GUCUUCGAGGAGCGUUGCGACGGAUGUCACCCAUCCGCCAGGCUCGAAGGCGCUCAAUACGGCCAGUUCGCGGUUUUCAUGCCACGAACGCACCGCACUGAAAAACGGCGCUCACGUCUU
rnacentral:ncRNA from 2 species